CAAGGGGGAAACAUCACAACGUAUCAUCAAUAUUUUUAGUUCCCCAUGAAUGAUUUACAUUCCCCUGCACUAUCAGAUAUUUUCAAAAGAACAUAUCAAAACUGGAGAGCAGUGCACUUGGUUCAUGUAACGUUAAAUUUGCUGCAAAAAGCCCUAUGAAUUCAAAGCUCUGAGAUCAAGUUCUGAUUUCUGAUGUUGGGCACACGCUUGCAGUCUGGCUUUGAAAAGUUUCAGUGGGUCUGGGGAAUUUUAAGGCUCUGUGAUGAUAUGACUACAGGCAAGUCCCCACUGAGCUCUGGUGCACAGCAUUAAAACAGAACCCACGUCUCUGGGAGUGACUGGCACAAAUAUCUGCUCUUUUCUGCUGCCUAAGCACAGGGGAGCUAAGCCUCUGCCAUCAGGGGGCUGGCACGCCAUCCCAACUCAAGACAUGGCUAGCACUCAACUCUCCCAAAGGAAGCUGGGACCACUGGUUUUCAGAUGCUGAAGUGCUGCAGGCAACCUCCAAUUAUUGAGCAUUUUAAUAAAAAAUAAAGCAGCAUCAUCAUCUUUUCUGUCCUACAAUGAGCUCCGAGAUCCUCUGCUUCAAUAGAUGGCCAGUAAAGGGCUCUGCUGGUGCUAUCACAACCAAGAGUCAAAUCCAUUCCAGAAAACACAAAGAAAAGCAGACACUGUGGCUGUGACUCUCCACCUUAACAAGCCUGAUCUGCACCAGAUCUCCAGAGCAUCACGUCAAAAUUGUGCAUCACACCACACAAGCUUCUCUUGA
rnacentral:lncRNA from 1 species